rnacentral:lncRNA from 1 species
UAUAGACCAAUAGCAGUUUUGGCUUGUCUAUCUAAAAUCAUAGAACGACAUAUAGCUAAUAGUUUGUAUAUAUUUUUAAAUAGUAAUGACCUUCUUAAUACUACACAGUCAGGUUUCAGAACUAAACAUUCGUAUACUACUGCACAUACUAAAUUAGUAGAUGAAUGGUUAGCAAAAAAAGAUAAUGGAGAGAUAAAUGGAGUUAUAUUUUUUAGAUUUAAAGAAAGCUUUUGAUCUGGUUAAUCAUAUAAUUUUAUUGAAAAAACUUGAAUAUUAUAAUGUUUCUAAUAGUACACUUGACUGGUUUAAGUCAUACUUGUUUGAACGAAGCCAACAAGUUAAGGUCAAUAACGUCAUGUCUAAUACUAAAUGCAGAAAAAACUGGUGUAUCACAAGGUUCUAUCCUGGGCCCUUUGUUAUUUAUUUUAUAUAUCAAUGAUUUACCACUUAAUAUAGAACAUUCAUUAAUAGAUUUAUAUGCAGACGAUUCUACAUUACAUUGUAAAGGUAAUGAUGUAAUUCAGUUAGCUUCUAACCUUCAAAAUGAUAUUCAUGUAAUUGAAAACUGGUGCUCGCAAAAUUGUAUGAAAUUAAAUGCCAAAAAAAGAGUAAAUCAAUGAUUAUUGGUUCAAAACAAUGGCUUUGUUUAACUGGAAACAGUUUUGAUAUCAAUAUUUCAAAUGAACAAAUAGAAAAUGUAGAUUGUGAAAAACUACUUGGUUUAUAUAUUGACAAAAACUUUAAUUGGAGUCAGCAAAAAGAUAAAAUGUCAAUUACUAUAUCAAAUAGAAUCAACUUAUUACAAAAGAUAAGAAAAUAUUU